rnacentral:rRNA from 1 species
AGUGAACGCUGGCGGUAGGCCUAACACAUGCAAGUCGAACGGCAGCACAGUAAGAGCUUGCUCUUACGGGUGGCGAGUGGCGGACGGGUGAGGAAUACAUCGGAAUCUACUUUUUCGUGGGGGAUAACGUAGGGAAACUUACGCUAAUACCGCAUACGACCUACGGGUGAAAGCAGGAGAUCUUCGGACCUUGCGCGAUUGAAUUAGCCGAUGUCGGAUUAGCUAGUUGGCGGGGUAAAGGCCCACCAAGGCGACGAUCCGUAGCUGGUCUGAGAGGAUGAUCAGCCACACUGGAACUGAGACACGGUCCAGACUCCUACGGGAGGCAGCAGUGGGGAAUAUUGGACAAUGGGCGCAAGCCUGAUCCAGCCAUACCGCGUGGGUGAAGAAGGCCUUCGGGUUGUAAAGCCCUUUUGUUGGGAAAGAAAAGCAGCAGGUUAAUACCCCGCUGUUCUGACGGUACCCAAAGAAUAAGCACCGGCUAACUUCGUG